rnacentral:rRNA from 1 species
GAUGAACGCUGGCGGCGUGCCUAAUACAUGCAAGUCGAACGAAGAUCUAGCUUGCUAGAUCUUAGUGGCGAACGGGUGAGUAAUACAUAAAUAAUCUGCCCAUAUGACUGGGAUAACUAUUGGAAACGAUAGCUAAUACCGGAUAGGUUGAUCGGAGGCAUCUCUGAUGAAUUAAAGUAGGAUUUCUACACAAAUGGAUGAGUUUAUGGCGCAUUAGUUAGUUGGUGGGGUAACGGCCUACCAAGACGAUGAUGCGUAGCCGACCUGAGAGGGUGACCGGCCACACUGGGACUGAGACACGGCCCAGACUCCUACGGGAGGCAGCAGUAGGGAAUUUUCGGCAAUGGGCGCAAGCCUGACCGAGCAACGCCGCGUGAGUGAUUAAGGCCUUCGGGUUGUAAAGCUCUGUUGUAAGGGAAGAACAUUCAGGAUAGGAAAUGAUCUUGAACUGACGGUACCUUACCAGAAAGCCACGGCUAACUACGUGCCAGCCGCCGCCGUAAAAC